rnacentral:rRNA from 1 species
UGUCGUGGAGCGUGGAAAGAAUGCAAGUCGAACGAAGAAUAUGAUUAGUUUACUAAGAGUAUUUUUAGUGGCGGACGGGUUAGUAACACGUGAGCAACCUGCCUUAAAGUGGGGGAUAGUCCUGGGAAACUAGGUUUAAUACCGCAUGUGAUCUUUGGAUCAAAGAUGGCCUUUGGCUAUCGCUUUAAGAUGGGCUCGCGUCCUAUCAGCUAGUUGGUGAGGUAAAGGCUCACCAAGGCGACGAUCAGUAUCUGGUUUGAGAGGACGAUCAGACACACUGGAACUGAGACACGGUCCAGACUCCUACGGGAGGCAGCAGUGGGGAAUUUUCCGCAAUGGGCGAAAGCCUGACGGAGCAAUACCGCGUGAGGGAUGACUGCCUAUGGGUUGUAAACCUCUUUUUUCAGGGAGGAAUCAAUGACGUUACCUGAAGAAUAAGUAUCGGCUAACUCCGUGCCAGCAGCCGCGGUAAGACGGAGGAUGCAAGUGUUAUCCGGAAUCACUGGGCGUAAAGCGUCUGUAGGUGGUUUGAUAAGUCAACUGUUAAAUCUUGAGGCUCAACCUCAAAACCGCAGUCGAAACUAUUAGACUAGAGUAUAGUAGGGGUAAAGGGAAUUUCCAGUGGAGCGGUGAAAUGCGUAGAGAUUGGAAAGAACACCGAUGGCGAAGGCACUUUACUGGGCUAUUACUAACACUCAGAGACGAAAGCUAGGGUAGCAAAUGGGAUUAGAUACCCCAGUAGUCCUAGCCGUAAACAAUGGGUACUAGAUGUUGAACAGAUCGACCUGUGCAGUAUUAAAGCUAACGCGUUAAGUAUCCCGCCUGGGAAGUAUGCUCGCAAGAGUGAAACUCAAAGGAAUUGACGG